UUCCCCUCCCGAACAGAGAGCUCGAGAGGAGGAGAGGCUCAACCCGCGUCCAGCACACCCCAACGGCGCCGCAGAUCAGCCCCUCCUCCUAUGUGCUUCCUCCUCCUCCAUGGCACUCUUCCUCUUUGCCCUCCUCUGUAAUUUCCCCCAUAGGCCGUCCAUCCCCUGCAUCCUCUAACCCUAGAUCGAUGGGACCGCCGCCAUCUCAUCUCCUCUACACACAUACGGCGGGAGUGAAGACUGCCAUGGGCUGCUACUCUAUGGACUAUGGGCGUCCAUCACACCCCGACGACACAGCAGAUCGGCCCUUCCUCCCUGGCGUUUCCCACCCCGUCCCGCAACAUCGAGGCCCUCAGCACCCUCAUCAACUUCCUCUUCUACAGGGAGGACAAGCUCAGCCUCUUGCACACCAUCGUGAACAAGGCCCCAACUACCACGAGCACACCAUGGAUCUAUCACCCAGGAGAUUUCGGAUCAAGAGCUCGUGGAGUAGCUGGAAGAUCCCAUGGAACAACAACUAGAAGCAUGCGUCAAUCCUCUGCAGUAGAAAUUUCAGGUUUACAACAACAAUUGGACCUGCGAGAAAAAGUUGCGGCCAUCAUGACAAAAAGAGGAAAUCCACGGGAUGGCUUGUUCACACUCUCCAGUAAUUAAAACCAACUAUGUUAUGUGAAUUUCUAGAAUAAAUUGUCUCACGUGAUUGUUGUUUGCCACCGUUGGAGCUAUGGCUGUGCAAGACGCAAUUGAAAUUCUGCAUAUGAUCGAUGGCCUUUGAUUAUUAAGAGUUUUUCUUGUUGCCUUUUUUUCGUUUGAGGGUAUGAAAUACUUCUGCAUAGUUUGAAUAAGAAAUUUGAUAUAUGACCUUCCAAUCAAAAGAGGAAUUACGAAUUUUGAUAUACUUAUUCAUUUUGUAGUUCCUUCCAAAUAUGAAAUGAGGCUUUAUUUUUGUUUGAGUUACAGGCUGUUCUGACAUCUGAUGAAAACAAUGUGUAAUGACUGACUACUGAGCAUUUCUUGAUUGGACCAAGCGAUUUUUCUACUUGGCAUAUUUAUUCGAGUGAGUACCGAGGAGCCCAACUCAAGUCAUGCACGAGAAUGAAGAGGGUAUCGGUCAUCUGCAACUUUGGACCGAUGGUUCCCAAGGUUAGCAAUUGCAAUGGUCCAUCUAUAUAAUUCAACCUCCUUACUAUUUUAUCCAGCUGGUGUUCGUGCCGGCGUGGCCAGGAACGUGGCACCAUGUUUCCGCCUGCAGCUUCCUACUCUGCUCAUCUCCCAUGUUUUCGGGUGGAGAUAGCUAGAGACCUAUUGACAAGGAGGAGGUGAAGACGAACACUCGAGAGGAGGGGGACUCCGCUGGUGAGGGGCACACUUGGCACAAUGUGGACCUGCUGCUUGAAGUAUAUAGUUGUAGCAUUCGUAGCCGUUUUGGCUGCUGCCCUCCAAUACCUGCUACUCGAAGAAUAUGUCAGAGCCUCGUGACAAUGUGAUCAUGUUUUUCGUCCUUUUUUCCUUUUGGUGUUUAUUCUUUCCAGUUAUGUUUGUCAGUAAGAAAUUUUGGGUGUUUUUAUAUCUCGUGCAAAAGCUGUCAUUGUUUUCACUUGAAAUCGGUGCAAAUACAUAUAUUCACUUGUU